AUUUAAAUAGUUUAUAAAAAAAACAUUAUUCUUUCAAAAUAAAAAUGAGCUAAAUCUUUAAAUUACCCAAAAC
rnacentral:tRNA from 1 species